GCAGCUGUAGCUUAGCUGGUUUAAAGCGUCGCCCUGUCACGGCGAAGAUCACGGGUUCAAAUCCCGUCAGCUGCGCAA
rnacentral:tRNA from 4 species